GACGAACGCUGGCGGCGUGCUUAACACAUGCAAGUCGAACGGAAAGGCCCUGCUUUUGUGGGGUGCUCGAGUGGCGAACGGGUGAGUAACAAGUGAGUAACCUGCCCCUGACUUUGGGAUAACUUCAGGAAACUGGGGCUAAUAACGGAUAGGAGCUCCUGCUGCAUGGUGGGGGUUGGAAAGUUUCGGCGGUUGGGGAUGGACUCGCGGCUUAUCAGCUUGUUGGUGGGGUAGUGGCUUACCAAGGCUUUGACGGGUAGCCGGCCUGAGAGGGUGACCGGCCACAUUGGGACUGAGAUGCGGCCCAGACUCCUACGGGAGGCAGCAGUGGGGAAUAUUGCACAAUGGGCGGAAGCCUGAUGCAGCAACGCCGCGUGCGGGAUGACGGCCUUCGGGUUGUAAACCGCUUUCGCCUGUGACGAAGCGUGAGUGACGGUACUGGGUAAAGAAGCACCGGCUAACUACGUG
rnacentral:rRNA from 1 species